CCCUUAGAUGUUCUGGGCCGCACGCGCGCUACACUGACGAAUGCAACGAGCUUAUAACCUUGGCCGAUAGGUCUGGGUAAUCUUUGAACGCUGUUCGUGAUUGGGAUAGACCUUUGCAAUUAUGGGUCUUCAACGAGGAAUUCCUAGUAAACGCAAGUCAUCAGCUUGCAUUGAUUACGUCCCUGCCCUUUGUACACACCGCCCGUCGCACCUACCGAUUGAAUGGUCCGGUGAAAUCUCGGGACGGCGGCUUGGUCGCUUGCGUCCGACUGCUGAAACUUGAUUAAACCAUAUCAUUUAGAGGAAGGUGAANUCGUANCA
rnacentral:rRNA from 1 species